rnacentral:rRNA from 1 species
UACGUAGGGUGCGAGCGUUAAUCGGAAUUACUGGGCGUAAAGGGUGCGCAGGCGGCUCCGCAUGUCGGGCGUGAAAUCCCCGGGCUUAACCUGGGAAUUGCGUCCGAAACUAUGGAGCUGGAGUGUGGCAGAGGGAGGUGGAAUUCCACGUGUAGCGGUGAAAAUGCGUAGAGAUGUGGAGGAACACCGAUGGCGAAGGGCAGC